AGCGAACGCUGGCGGCAGGCUUAACACAUGCAAGUCGAGCGGGCACUUUCGGGUUUCAGCGGCGGACGGGUGAGUAACGCGUGGGAACGUGCCCACUGAUUCGGAAUAACUCUGGGAAACAUUAGCUAAUACCGGAUACGCCCUUGUGGGGAAAGGCUUGCUGCCGGGGGAUCGGUGCGCGUCUGAGUAGGUGGUUGGUGGGGUAACGGCUCACCAAGUCGACGAUCAGUAGCUGGGUUGCGAGGAUGAUGAGGCGCGCUUGGACUGAGACACGGCCCACACUCGUACGGAAGGCAGCAGUGUAGAAUAUUGGGCGCUGAACGCAAGCCUAGUCCAGCCAUGCGGCGUGAGUGAUCCAGGUCUUAGGGUUGUACAGCUCUCUUAUCCGGGGCGAUAAUGACGGUACCGGGUGAAUAAGCACCGGCUAACUUCGUG
rnacentral:rRNA from 1 species